rnacentral:tRNA from 1 species
GCGCCAUUGGUUUAGUGGUAAAAUUCAACGUUGCCAGCACAUUACGCAAUCUCGUUGAGCCCUGGGUUCGAUUCCCAGAUGGCGCA